CCCUGAGAGAGCAGGAUGGUGCUUCUGCUCCCACAGAGGAUUCUUUUUGUCUCCUUACUCUGGAGAAAGCCCACGAGGCUGAAUCUUACACAACACAUUUGACAAAUGAGGCUGUGGUGAGAUUGUGGCUUUAGUGAACAGAUGCGGUGACACAGGGUGGGAAAGUCCCCAGAACUCCCACCAAGAGGAAAAGGGAUGGAAUUUACCAGCGACCAAGCUGAAGGAGGAGGAUGGAACGGUGAGAAAGGAGCUGGUUCCAGUUAAGGCCUUGUUGCCAGUGGGUGGAGUGGUGAGAUCUACAUUGCAUCUACUAUGGCUAAGGAGAAGACCAGCAUUUCCAGGACUGUCAACUGAACCUCCUUCACACUACAGACACAACUUUAUAAAUACAAAAAGAAAAAGAAAAAAUUGAACUGUGAUCUUUCUGGAAUGGAGAUGUAUCCAAAAGAACUGUGCUUUGGGUUGUACAGCCUUCCCAAGGAGUCAGAACAAAUAUCCAGACUUCAACACGAGACCAAGCAGAGUUGCUCAGUCCCUGUGGAGAUGAGAUAUAGAACUGGAGAAUAUAAACAGAUGUGGAGACAUUUUGAUGCAUUUCUGAAAAAACAAAUGACAUUUUGCUGCUAUAUUUUAGAGUUCACUCCAGCCCCCUUAUCAAGAAUAUGAUGCAAAAAACAAUAGUCACUUCAUUUUCAUUUCUCAGUCUGUCUGGAGAGCAAAAGGCACAGUCAUCUAGUAGAUGAGGUAACAUCAGAGCCUAACAACUGUUGAGAAAGUCUUGUAGAGUUUAAAAUGCUGAAGAAAAAGGGAAGAAUCAUUAAGAAACUAUAAAUCUGAAGGAAAUCAAUAUGAUAGUCUAAGAUCUUGAAAUAGCAUAGCAUGUAUUUUUAUUUAGUAUUGCAGGCAGGUUGAUUAGUACCUGAGGGAGAUUCUCAGAAUCACAAAAUUGCAUGGGCUGGAAGGGACCGCUGGAGAUCAUCUACAAGCCAGCACAAUGCAUCUAACCCAAUACAGACUAAAAGAUUCCACAGAAACAAGGAACUAUAGGGUACUGGAGCAGAAAUGCUAAGUCACAGCUUGAACCAGUGAUUGAGCACCUGGUGGGAAGGCAGGGCCAACCCAGGGGAGCUCAGGUGCAUGCAAUGAGGAUCCGCCCGAUCCUGGCUCCACCCCUUCCCAGACCUCAUUUAAGGACUGGCAGUAGGGGCAAGAGCAUCUCACUGGAGAUCCCUGUGUAGUAGAGGCCUUCUAAAGGUAAGCAGUUUUUCUUCCUUUGUUUCUGCAUCCAUGGUUGCUGCAUUUGGGCUUGCUCUCAUUUGCUGCAGCCUAGGAUUGUGCUGCUCUGCUAUUAUUGUUAUGCUUUCCAUUACAUUGCAGAUACAAAAGGUUAAACUCCAUCUUCCUAGUCUUGUCCCCCUUCUUCUGUACGGGAGAGCCAUCCUGUGAAA
ensembl:lncRNA